rnacentral:rRNA from 1 species
CACGUAGGGCGCAAGCGUUGUCCGGAAUUAUUGGGCGUAAAGAGCUCGUAGGCGGUCUGUUGCGUCUGCUGUGAAAACUCGGGGCUUAACCCCGAGCCUGCAGUGGAUACGGGCAGACUAGAGGUAGGUAGGGGAGAAUGGAAUUCCCGGUGUAGCGGUGAAAUGCGCAGAUAUCGGGAGGAACACCGGUGGCGAAGGCGGUUCUCUGGGCCUGUACUGACGCUGAGGAGCGAAAGCGUGGGGGAGCGAACAGG